UCAGGACGAACGCUGGCGGCGUGCUUAACACAUGCAAGUCGAACGAUGAUCCGGUGCUUGCACCGGGGAUUAGUGGCGAACGGGUGAGUAACACGUGAGUAACCUGCCCUUGACUCUGGGAUAAGCCUGGGAAACCGGGUCUAAUACCGGAUACGACCUUUCACCGCAUGGUGGUUGGUGGAAAGAUUUUUUGGUUUUGGAUGGACUCGCGGCCUAUCAGCUUGUUGGUGAGGUAAUGGCUCACCAAGGCGACGACGGGUAGCCGGCCUGAGAGGGUGACCGGCCACACUGGGACUGAGACACGGCCCAGACUCCUACGGGAGGCAGCAGUGGGGAAUAUUGCACAAUGGGCGAAAGCCUGAUGCAGCGACGCCGCGUGAGGGAUGACGGCCUUCGGGUUGUAAACCUCUUUCAGCAGGGAAGAAGCGAAAGUGACGGUACCUGCAGAAGAAGCGCCGGCUAACUACGUGCCAGCAGCCGCGGUAAUACGUAGGGCGCAAGCGUUGUCCGGAAUUAUUGGGCGUAAAGAGCUCGUAGGGCGGUUUGUCGCGUCUGCUGUGAAAGCCCGGGGCUCAACCCCGGGUCUGCAGUGGGUACGGGCAGACUAGAGUGCAGUAGGGGAGACUGGAAUUCCUGGUGUAGCGGUGAAAUGCGCAGAUAUCAGGAGGAACACCGAUGGCGAAGGCAGGUCUCUGGGCUGUAACUGACGCUGAGGAGCGAAAGCAUGGGGAGCGAACAGGAUUAGAUACCCUGGUAGUCCAUGCCGUAAACGUUGGGCACUAGGUGUGGGGGACAUUCCACGUUUUCCGCGCCGUAGCUAACGCAUUAAGUGCCCCGCCUGGGGAGUACGGCCGCAAGGCUAAAACUCAAAGGAAUUGACGGGGGCCCGCACAAGCGGCGGAGCAUGCGGAUUAAUUCGAUGCAACGCGAAGAACCUUACCAAGGCUUGACAUGGACCGGACCGCCGCAGAAAUGCGGUUUCCCUUCGGGGCUGGUUUACAGGUGGUGCAUGGUUGUCGUCAGCUCGUGUCGUGAGAUGUUGGGUUAAGUCCCGCAACGAGCGCAACCCUCGUUCUAUGUUGCCAGCGCGUUAUGGCGGGGACUCAUAGGAGACUGCCGGGGUCAACUCGGAGGAAGGUGGGGACGACGUCAAAUCAUCAUGCCCCUUAUGUCUUGGGCUUCACGCAUGCUACAAUGGCCGGUACAAAGGGUUGCGAUACUGUGAGGUGGAGCUAAUCCCAAAAAGCCGGUCUCAGUUCGGAUUGAGGUCUGCAACUCGACCUCAUGAAGUCGGAGUCGCUAGUAAUCGCAGAUCAGCAACGCUGCGGUGAAUACGUUCCCGGGCCUUGUACACACCGCCCGUCAAGUCACGAAAGUUGGUAACACCCGAAGCCGGUGGCCUAACCCCUUGUGGGGAGGGAGCCGUCGAAGGUGGGACCGGCGAUUGGGACUAUC
rnacentral:rRNA from 1 species